CAGUCGCCGCGGUAAUACGGAGGAUCCAAGCGUUAUCCGGAAUCAUUGGGUUUAAAGGGUCCGUAGGCGGUCUUGUAAGUCAGUGGUGAAAGCCCAUCGCUCAACGGUGGAACGGCCAUUGAUACUGCAGGACUUGAAUUAUUGGGAAGUAACUAGAAUAUGUAGUGUAGCGGUGAAAUGCUUAGAGAUUACAUGGAAUACCAAUUGCGAAGGCAGGUUACUACCAAUUGAUUGACGCUGAUGGACGAAAGCGUGGGUAGCGAACAGGAUUAGAUACCCCUGUAGUCCCUGUCUCUUAUAU
rnacentral:rRNA from 1 species